AGGCGCCGGGCAGCGGCGUGGCCUCGCCGGGCGACCCCGCGGCGGCACUGGCGCUCGCCUCGUCCGCGGGGAGGGCGUCGAGCAGGCAGGCAGCCAGCCCGCGGGGCUCGGCGGUCUCCGGGAGCCGUCGUGCGGCCGCGCUGCUCGGCGGGGAGGAGACGGCGGUUUCGCUGCGGGCUCCCUGGGCGGCGGCCCGGCCCGGGGCGCGGGAGGCGCGGGGCCGCCCGCGGCGGCGCCGGCCGCGUUGGGCGCGCAGUAAGUGCGGGCGGCCGGUGCAUGCAGCUUCGGAGUUUGCUGCACGCGGGCCGCAAGUGCGGCAGGUUGGACCCGCUGCUCAUGUGCAGCACAGCUGCGGGACACGUGCGCGGUAGGUUCGUCCUCAUGACAGUCUGUUUCAAAUAAUUCACGGUGGAAAGCAAAUACUCUUUUCUGCGCCGCUCUCUGCAGAGAGUUCAACAAAUGGAUAGAAAAAAAGCAGUUAAAUGUGUUAAAUCGAACCUGUGAAGCUGUCUUCAGAAGUAGGACUUUAAGUGAAUAAUCAUCCGUUCUGUAAAUACAUUAUCACUGAAUGGAUCCCUCUGUUUGCAGGUUGAAAGCUUGAGGCAUAUCUUUAUAACUCCAUAGAUUCUUUCAUCACAGUGUCAAAAAGGUAUGGUAAGACGUAGUGUUGUACAUUCAAGAGAAUAGUUGAGACUGAAUCCAGACAGAUAUGUGGAAGAGCAAUAGGAGAUGCUGAACAGGUAACAAAAGAUGUCAGAGAGGGAGGGUCAGAGUCUUUCAAAUGAGGAAAUACUGUAUUGUAGCUGCAGUGUAAUGCUUAUGCGUAUAUCCUGUAAUGAAAAAAAAAAAUUAUUUGUAUCUUGGCCUGGAAGUAUGGAGGGGCGCUUGGUCAGUUGACCUUUUCCAGCAUCCUGAAAGACAGUGGGAGAGAACUGUCAUAAGAAACUUUUGAGAAGAAUUUACAGGAAUGUCUUAUUCCUCAUUCCAAAGAGUUACUUACGAAAAGAGACCUUGGGUAGAAAAAUAACUCCCACUGGCUAAGAUGAAGAGCAUCUUUUUAACAUUUCAGGGGGGAUGGUGGGAGGAGGUUUGGUUGUGGAGGAACUGAGAAACUGUAAAAGACAGUAUCAGAUUUCCAGGAGAAGAGCAGAGAUGAUGUGAAUUUAGGCAAGGAGAUGAAAGAGUGGUGGGAGAUACAGAAUUUUGAAAUUUGCUGUGCCUCACUGGGGCACAGGGUGGAGAUAGUGGUCCAAAUUUGGGUCCAUCAAACCAAAGGAUUCCCAGAAUACAGCCCCUGUAGAGUGCAAAACAGACCGGUAUUUCAGAAAGUUUUGGGCUUUGUGAUUUAUCAAUGUUUGUGUGUUCAUGUGGUGUUUGAUCCAUGCCUGUCAGUGUUCCUCAAUCGACUGUAGCACCUCAGCAUUUAUCUGCAUUAGUAUUUCUCACCCCUCUUUGGAAAUGAUACUGUUUUUAAAGAAGUGUUUGGUAUUGUAAAUUAUUUCUUGCUAAGUGUUUGAACUAGUACAGAUUACAGCGAGCAUAUGUAGAAAGAUUACAUUAAGAAUCCCUCCUGGGGUUCACGUUUAUGAAGGAGAGGUGUUGUGGUCAGGGAACAUAACCUAUAUCCAGGAAUAGUAUGUCUAAAACCUACUGGGCAGAGGUCUAGAUCGUGAACUAGGAUAGGAUAUGUAGGAACUACAGGAUAAUGAGCUGUAGGCUACCAUCUUUCUUUGUUUUGGAGUGGAAAGAAAUAUAAUUGGAGUGCAGCAGAUAAUACAGAAUGCUCACAAAUUAGCAUAUCACAAAUCAUAAAAUAAUUUAGAUUGGAAGAAACCUCUGGAGUUCAUUCAGUUUAAAGCAGGGCCACUUUUGGAGUUACAUUAGGUUGCUCAGAGUCAGCAUUCAGACUCCUGGACUCUUGAGAGAUGAGAUUGUAUUUACUACCAAAGUUCAGAACAACGACUAGAAUUUCUUUCCUUUUCCUAUGUUUGAUGGUACAGUAUAAGAAAGAAAUUUUUAGCAGUGAACUGUCCUAUUUCUGUAGGUAAUUAAAUGCUAUUUUGUUCAAUGUGAAAUCUCAUUCUCCAGGCACAACAUACAGCUUCCAUAUUUCUCUGAUGUAGUCCCUCAGUUCUUUCUACUUUUUUCUCCUGUCUUACCGAAAGACAUGAAAAUCUCCCAUGGUUCAUUGGGAAAGACUCAUAAACUGAUUCAGCUUUCUGCAGAUGAAAAGCUAGUGCCUCACAUGAGAGAGCGGAAUUAAUAAUCGAUGCAUCAUGUUAUAUACAAAUUGCAGCAUGGUGUUUUAUGCCAAAGAGACAAGUCUAAACUAUGUAAUUACCAGUCACUGGCAUUACUUUUUGUAGCAUUCCUAUGAAGACAUCAGUUGUCAUUUACUCUUGUUUUCUAGGAUCUGAAAGUCCAAUCUUUGACUAAAGUGGGCAUAAUGCUGUGAAGGAGUGAACAUUACAUAAAAUUCUUUUAAUCACUCUAGCUGUGUAUAUAUCUGGGGAAAAUGGUUGAUGAAACCACUUAGCGGAUGAAUAUCAUCAAUCCCGAUGAAUUCCGUAUUUAAUAGUCUUUAAAGUAUUUAAUAGUAUUUAAAGUCCAUUUAACCAAAACAUUUAAACAUGUGUUUGUAUGUUCUGAUGCAUUAGGGUUUCAGCAAACAAAUUGCAAGUGCCUGCAUAUUGAAUAGGCUCUUUGCUUUUAGAUGAUAAAACCCAUUGUGCAAGGCUGAGGAUUAAAUUCUCAGACCGUGUGGUCCCUGAUGUAGAUUAUCCUCUUAAUUAGGGACAAUAUGUUAAUUCAUAGAAGUAGCGAGUUUUUUGCCCACAUCCACUGUUUCCUUUUGUUGCAGCUGAGGAACGUAUUUCAGGUCUCUUAUAGAAAUCACUGGGAAACAGAUAUGCCAUCAGGGAUGUGAUGCAAUUCCUGUAUAUACUGAUUGUAGCAUUUCCAGCAAAAUAGUGUUGAUACUAGUAGCAUGUUAUGUAUGGAAAGAUGCAUUAUCUGUCCCCAAAUUCUGGCUGUGACCUAACAAACACUUUCAUGAUGAGUUUGACUCUUCCAAGAUAGCUUCUAAAACUGAUGUGAUAUUGUCUGAUUCCUAGAGAGUGUCUCUGCAGUUCAUGCCAUAAAGCAGGUGAAUGCUAAAAAAGAAUCAGAAGUUGAGUUCUUUUUUUUUUUUUUAAAGGAAGGUGAAGUUCCAGUAACAUGCUUUUUGUAUUAUUGAAAAUGUAUGGUUUUAGAGAUAUGAAAAUUGCUUUUCAGAUACUCAUAAAUACAGGGGGAUUUUUGAAGCUAGAAAUUCACUGAUGGGAGAAGGGCUCUUCUGCCUCUCUAGUAAAAGCUUACUCUACAGAGUAGGCUUAUUUGCUGUGGGCAGUCAUUACAGUCAGUGUGUGGGAAUCAGAGCCUUACUACUGUGCCAGAAGUGAAUGCGCAUUUGUCAUCAAACACCCGGAGUGGAAAAAUAGACUAUGGCAGAAAAUAAAUAGUAUAAACAGUCACUUUAUAGUAUAAGCAGAGCUACUCCACAGAAGAAGUACCAGGAAGGGAAAACAAUGGUUGAGGCUCACAAAGACUCAGGAACCUCAAUACUACUGCUAGUCCAAGGUUAUGUCUAUGCUGCAUUCUCGGGUGUAACUGAAGCAGACCUACCUGUGCUGGCUUGGGUGAUUUGGGUUCAGUUGCAUGGGGAGCACUGUGUGUUGUGGGAAGGAUUUUGUGCUGACAUUUCGUUACUGUCCAAGCUAACACAGGCACAUCUGUUCACGUUACAAUGCUUGCUUCCAAAUUACAAUCAGAGAAAACUUUUGGAAGUGUAAUUCCCAAUAACAGAAACUCACAGGUUUGUUAAGUGUCAGUAGAGUGAUUGGACAAGAAUUGGUAGCAGUUAUUGUAGUAAAUUGAAUUCAGUUUGAGUUUGUACAGUUAUUUUUCUUGAAAUGCCUUAUAACUGAUAUUUGGAAAGAUAGAUCAUAACCCUUAUGAGGAUAUGCAGUGAGUCACUUAAUUACACAAUCACACCUUUUGACCUUAGACAUGAUAGGAAGAUAUCAUGAAUUAAAACUUAGCUUCCAUCAUCUGAUAGCUGUUCCCUUGCACACUCUUAGCACACAGCAAGUGUGAGAUAAUGUGACUUAACCUAGCAGACAGUGAAAGAAUCUAAGCCUAAUUGCAUUACUCUCUAUUUGCUGCAGAAUAAAAUAUAGACUUGGACAGUUACUGUGACAUAUAAGAUGCUAUAGCUUGUGCCUACUUGUAGAGCUAUGGACAGACACUGUGUUGCAGAUGCAAGUGUGCCAUUUGAAGGUUUCGCCACUUUGCAGUUAGAUGCUACCUCUUUGAUGCUGUGGUUACUACUGCCACAGCUCUGCUGGCAAAAGGGUUUGUUUAAGAGUUCUUUAGUUUUCCUCAGGCAAGUGAGCAAGGUCAGUUUAAACCCUCUUCAUUGACUAAUCCAUCUGACUUGUUGGAAGCACAUGAGGGAGUGCUCGCAUAAUUCCUUUUGCCAACAGAGCUGUGGGGGUGGAAACUCUCAGCAGAGGAGUGGUAAGAAACAACUGGAAGAAUGAUAAUGUCACCAACUGGCACACCUGUCUGCAAAGUGAAUGCCAAUGCAUGAUGUAGUCCUGCAUGCGCUGUGGAUAUUAUUCUCUUCCAAACAUGUCCAUGCUUUCUGUGUUAUACAUUCCUGGCUUACGCUAAGUACUUUUACGUACCUCUGGCAAUAUAAAAACAACUUGAAAGUGUUCAAAGAUUUAGAUUAUGCCCCCUUUUAAGGCCUUCUUAUUCUUCAAAACAACAUAAAAAGGGACUAACAAGUGAAUACCAACAACUGUAGUCCUGCAGAAUUAAUUUUCUCAUCACUGGGCCAGAACCUCAGCUGUUCUCUUAAAGGAUUCCAGAUGCACUGUAAGCCCUGAAUUCAGUGUGGUGCUGCGGCGGCCCCUCAGCCAAGUGAGAGUCUGUUCCAGGGCUUUGCAUUGCACUGAUUUCUAUUACUGGAGAGAUACUCACAUUGCAGAGUAUGGUCUGAUGUUUAUUUGCACAUUUUCUCAUGGUUGCUAUGUACACGACUCCUAUUACUGUUAAACUUAGAGAGACCCAGUUCCAGAAAGGCCUCUAGAAAGACAGUUUUGUCUGCCUGGCUGUGAACAGCUGUCCUCAUCACCAUCUUUCCAGGUUUGUCCUUCCCAUCACAGAGCCUUCUCCUGUGGCUGCACCAUUGCCUUGUCUGAAGAAGCCACAGGACCUGUAGCAGCUUCAGUCAUUUCACAGAUUCCCCAUGCUGACUUUGGUGAACAGUUGCUGUUUGACAGAUUCAUCGUAGAAUGCAUUUUCUGCUCUCUUUCUUCCCAUUUUAGUCUUUUCCUCAUCUCUCUAGCUUUUAGGAACAACAAUUCCUUGUAUUUGUAAAGGGUUUCUAGAUUUCCUUACCAACAGAUUGUACUUUGUUCGCUGCUGGGUUUUUUUAUUGUUGCUAUUACUGCUUAACUGUAUUGCUGCUUUUGGAAGAAGUUGGUUUUUUUCUGGUUAUUCAGAUCUUUUCGGUGUGGUAGUUUCAUACAGUUGUUUUUCUGUUUUAUUCUACACAUGAACAGCAUUGUUGCUUGUUUUGAUCAGUCACCUGAAGCCUAAAUGAAGAAGUACUUUUUUUUUUUUUCAGCAGAGUACUUAAGCACGUGCUUACUCUAGAUAAGUUUGUUCUCAUUUAUAUUUUUUUUUCUGAAAUAGGACUGUGGAAGCUGUUCUAAAGCAUGCGUUAGGAAGUGGAAAUCUACUCAUUCUUUGGGCCAAGUGCUUAGGCUGUGGGGUUUUUUUCCUGUAGUCCUAUGGCUGUAGCUAUGACCAGAUUAGCCUUAGUUUAGCAAAUGCAAAGCAUUUCCUGUUUGUUCUAGCCCUCCUCUGAAGUGAAGUAUCUUGUUUUUACCUAACAUUCGUGAGUCUUUCUCGUUAGGGUUUUUCUGAUCCUUUUUGUCAGUCUUUGCCUCUGCUCGGAACAUAGGUCAGCUCCUGAAGUCAUUGGAUCUCAACUUUUACCUAACUGAAAAAAUAUUACUUUCUUGGUAUUUUAUGUUUUUCAUUUCUUUGGUGGUUCCCCUUAGCACUCCUUUAUUUUUCAGUCUACAGCUAGGACAGAUGUGCUUAUCAGGGAGUGAAUGAGCUGUGAAAGAUGCACUAUAAUCAAGAAGAGAAUGAGGAUCAUUUUCUGGAUAUUUAAACAACUGCACUUUCUCAGGGACUUUGAUCAGUGCCUGCUCUGUUCGAUACAGCCUCCGCCUACCUGUUUGACUGCUGCCUUCACAUAGAACCCCUCUUACAGAAUUUGCCAAAAGGAAGGCAGUUUCCUUUCCUGUAUUGAAGAGACACAUGGGCUUCAGAGAUAUGAAAUAUGAACUACAAUGUAAAUGGGGAAAGGAAGAAAGAAGCCUGGACUAGAUCGUCUAGGACUAGAUGAUCUCUGGAGGUCCCUGCCAACCUCAGCAAUUCUGUGAUUCUAUAAAAUCCAGUGCCAAAGUGGAUUAAAUAUGGCAGCACUGACAGCACAACAGCAGUCAAAUCAUCGUACUCGGAGUCUAGGAACAACAGGUUGAAUGCUGAAAGUUAUCAGUGCACACUGGAAAUCCUGUAUUAAUGAUAUGAAUGCUUUAAUUAAAUAACUUAUGAAGGUCAUAGAAAAUAACAAUCCAAAGAUAUCUCCUGUCCCUAUUCUAUAAGACUUUGUCAUUAGUAAGUAACACAGAAGAAUAAUUUGUCUGUGGUACUGAUCAAAAUAGGUAGUAAAAAGAAAGGUAACAUAAAAGGACAUGGUUACCCCAUACAACAGAAGUAGAAAUUCAUGCCUGUAUCACUGUCCUGUAUCACACACAGCCAUGUUGCCUGCUUAACCACUCAUGAAAUACAAGCAAUGAAAACAGCAGAAAUUAAAAAAAGACAUUGCUAAGGAAUAUUGUGCUUAAAAUAUUAUAUGUGUAUUAUCCAAAUGUCUUCUUGGCUACAGCUCAAUAAAAAGUCUGCAGUGUCUCAAUAUCUGCAGCUUAUUAUGCAAAAACUUCUUUAUUUAAGGCACCUUUGAGGUCAUUUUUAUUUAAGUACUUUACUGAAUAUCAUUUUAAUGGAACACAAGUGUAUACAUAAAAUAUGUUGUACCUUGCUUGUUUUUCACACUAUGCAUUCUCAGGCUGAGGAUAUUCUUUGUUGUUAUUUUUCGUUCAGACUUAAAUUCCUUUCUGUGCGUUGUCUCACCCUUGCAUCAUUCUUUAGACACCAGAGCAUCCUAUGAAAUCUGAUUCUGCUGGAGUCAAUCUUUGACCAGGCAUGUAUGUACUGAAUGGACAGGCAGGGCAACUACAAAGGUUGGGAGGGCCAAGGAUGAUGGUGGAGAGACAAGAAGAGGCAGAGCAUUUCAGGUUUUUGCUGUACUUUUAUCCACUUUUUGCAUGAGAAGCACCAAAAAAUUUUACAUUUAAAGCCUUAACUUUUGCAUGGUUUAAUUACUUAACCUUUGAAAUCGCAGAAGGACCACUUGCUAUCCCUAGAGAGUUAUUUGUGAACAUUAAUAAUAACAUACUUGUUUAUAAUAGAAAUCCUUUCUCUGACAGCAAACAGCUUUAUGUUAAACUUCUUAAAGACUCUGUUCUGAAUACAUUUACCUCAGUCUUUCCAUUACUCUUGGAUGUUAAUCUAGCAUAAUUGUCAGAGAUUAAUCAUAAUAUUAAGAUAGAUUACUGAGACAAAGCUUACUAAAAUAAUCAGUGUUUGAUCUUAAGGAAAAUAAACUCCAGCUGUAAGCAUUUGGAGGUGGGAGGCUCUACUCACUGAAUAGUGACACUUUUAUUGUAUCCUUAAAGUUUACAUGCUGUUCAUGUUUAUUUUGUGUUGGAAGAGCCUAUUUCUGUUCUCAUAUCAGUGCUAAUUUGGAAGAACUCCAGUGAUAUAAAUAGCAAUGGCACAGUAACACCCAUAUGAGCUCAGAGUUGUCGUCAAGAGUCCGUGGUUAAGGCACUGGCCUGGGAUUUGGAAAAUCAGAGAUCAGUUUCCUACUCCACCACAGAUUUCCUGUGUAAAUUCAGGGAUGUCCACAUACAGUCAGAUCCCAAAAAACAAUUAGAUGCCUAAUGUGUAACCUAGGUGGAAUUUGGUUGCCUAAUUCCAAGUGAUGACAAACCUGCCUUGUCCCACAGUAUCUACCUCUGCUUGGACACCUGUGUUUUUGCCUGUAAAGUUCUGGAGGUGCUAGUGACCUAUUAGUUCCCCAGCCACAUGGCUAGUGUGCACUGCUCAUUUUGUUGCUGAUUUAAAUCCAACUUUGUUUGGGUCUGUGAACUGGGCAUCACUGCCCUUUGAAGAGACUAGUCUGAAGGGUGAGUAUGUCUAAUGCAGACUGACAGCUUGGAUUCAGCAGAAAGUACAAGCAUUUGCGUUAAAACGUGUCCUUACAUAGGGCUGGUUUUGGUGCCAGUAGUGCCUCCUUUUUAUAAAAUACCUUUGUGUGCAAUUAAUCCUUUUCCCAUCAGAUAAUAGACUAUAAGCACAAAGCUGUGGCACAAACUUCUCCUUAUGUUAUCUGGUGGGAAUAAGAGUCCUGCUUGUUUAGAGCCUUAAUCACCAGACAGCCUCACCAGCUUUGCUUCAUGGAUCUGCCAGUACAUCUCACACAGACAUCACGCAGGCCACUUUCUAACUGGCCUACUUGGUUUCACUCUUGGUGGAAAGACAGCUGAAGUGACUGUUUUUUGCUGCAGCAGCUCUGCAAGGCUGUAUCAAAGGUAUUGUACACAGGCACACCAUUCCUGUACAGCCACUGCGCACAGGGGAGACCUGCUCACACACAGCAAUUUUCUCUGGGGGCAGCUGUCUCUUACAAAAAAAAAAAAAAAAGUCCUCAGAGCAUCCCAGUGACAACCCUAAUGGUACGUCUGCACGACAGACUGCUGAAACCUUUUCACCACAGCUCUGUGUGAUGGGACUCUAAGGAAUAUCCCUGUCAGACAGCUUCAGCAGUUACAGAGAGAGAAAGCCUGGAGGAGGAUGUGCUAGUUCAAAUGCAUACACGUAUAUUUAUUUUCUAAUUUGCUAAGGUUUAAGAUUAUGCAGAUAUACAGAAGCGGUUUAGCCUGAAGUUAAGAAGGCUAUGGAGGGUGUGCAUACAUGAAAGGGUGUGUUGUUUUGGCUUCUUUGUUUAGGUUU